UACGUAGGGGGCAAGCGUUGUCCGGAUUUAUUGGGCGUAAAGAGCGUGUAGGCGGCCAUACAGGUCAGCUGUGAAAACUCGAGGCUCAACCUCGAGACGUCGGUUGAAACCGUAUGGCUAGAGUCCGGAAGAGGAGAGUGGAAUUCCCGGUGUAGCGGUGAAAUGCGCAGAUAUCGGGAAGAACACCCGUGGCGAAGGCGGCUCUCUGGGACGGUACUGACGCUGAGACGCGGAAAGCGUGGGGAGCAACAGGGAUUAAGAUACCCUGGAGUCC
rnacentral:rRNA from 1 species